GCCUACGGGGGGCAGCAGUGAGGAAUAUUGGUCAAUGGGCUUACGCCUGAACCAGCCAAGUCGCGUGAGGGAAGACUGCCCUAUGGGUUGUAAACCUCUUUUGUCAGGGAGCAACGCCGGCUACGUGUAGCCGGACUGAGAGUACCUGAAGGAAAAGCAUCGGCUAACUCCGUGCCAGCAGCCGCGGUAAUACGGAGGAUGCGAGCGUUAUCCGGAUUUAUUGGGUUUAAAGGGUGCGUAGGCGGAAUGCCAAGUCAGUGGUAAAAUCGCGGGGCUCAACCUCGCUCCGCCGUUGCAACUGGCGU
rnacentral:rRNA from 1 species